rnacentral:rRNA from 1 species
UGGGGAAUUUUGGACAAUGGGGGCAACCCUGAUCCAGCCAUGCCGCGUGCGGGAAGAAGGCCUUCGGGUUGUAAACCGCUUUUGGUCGGGAAGAAAGGGUUCUCCCUAAUACGGAGGACUGUUGACGGUACCGGCAGAAUAAGCACCGGCUAACUACGUGCCAGCAGCCGCGGUAAUACGUAGGGUGCGAGCGUUAAUCGGAAUUACUGGGCGUAAAGCGUGCGCAGGCGGUGAGUUAAGUCUGCUGUGAAAGCCCCGGGCUCAACCUGGGAAUGGCAGUGGAAACUGGCUCGCUGGAGUAUGGCAGAGGGGGGUGGAAUUCCGCGUGUAGCAGUGAAAUGCGUAGAGAUGCGGAGGAACACCGAUGGCGAAGGCAGCCCCCUGGGCCAAUACUGACGCUCAGGCACGAAAGCGUGGGGAGCAAACAGG